rnacentral:tRNA from 1 species
CGCAGGGUGGAGCAGUUGGUCAGCUCGCCGCGCUCAUAACGCGGAAGUCGCUGGUUCGAAUCCAGCCCCUGCGA